rnacentral:rRNA from 1 species
GGGGAUUAGUGGCGAACGGGUGAGUAACACGUGAGUAACCUGCCCUUGACUCUGGGAUAAGCCUGGGAAACUGGGUCUAAUACCGGAUAUGACCUUCCAUCGCAUGGUGGUUGGUGGAAAGCUUUUGUGGUUUUGGAUGGACUCGCGGCCUAUCAGCUUGUUGGUGGGGUAAUGGCCUACCAAGGCGACGACGGGUAGCCGGCCUGAGAGGGUGACCGGCCACACUGGGACUGAGACACGGCCCAGACUCCUACGGGAGGCAGCAGUGGGGAAUAUUGCACAAUGGGCGCAAGCCUGAUGCAGCGACGCCGCGUGAGGGAUGACGGCCUUCGGGUUGUAAACCUCUUUCAGUAGGGAAGAAGCGAAAGUGACGGUACCUGCAGAAGAAGCGCCGGCUAACUACGUGCCAGCAGCCGCGGUAAUACGUAGGGCGCAAGCGUUAUCCGGAAUUAUUGGGCGUAAAGAGCUCGUAGGCGGUUUGUCGCGUCUGCCGUGAAAGUCCGGGGCUCAACUCCGGAUCUGCGGUGGGUACGGGCAGACUAGAGUGAUGUAGGGGAGACUGGAAUUCCUGGUGUAGCGGUGAAAUGCGCAGAUAUCAGGAGGAACACCGAUGGCGAAGGCAGGUCUCUGGGCAUUAACUGACGCUGAGGAGCGAAAGCAUGGGGAGCGAACAGGAUUAGAUACCCUGGUAGUCCAUGCCGUAAACGUUGGGCACUAGGUGUGGGGGACAUUCCACGUUUUCCGCGCCGUAGCUAACGCAUUAAGUGCCCCGCCUGGGGAGUAC